GUGUUAUAUGAAAGAGAGAAGGUUAGCACUUCCCUUGACAAGGAUGUAAAAGGUCCCAGUGGCCUUUACAACACAUAUACGCUUAAGGCACUGCCACCAACUUAGUUUUUAAGGCUUUUACUAU